GGCUGGAAUAAAAUGGCUGGCUGAAAUGUGCUGAGAUUGAUUGGGCCAAGGCUGAUUGGAAUGAAAUUGGGCUGGAUGAUUUCUGAUGGACUGCUGAUUGAACCACACUGCAAUGUUGCUGCAAAGAGAAGAAAACCGUGUUGAUGGGCUGGUUGCUGGAGUUGGGCUGAAGCCAAUUUUGCUGGAAAAAAAUGAAACGCAGCGUUUUGAGAGCAGCUGCCUUAGGGGUCUUUACCUUAGCAAUUCAUUCAUGCAAAAGAGAAGGCUCGAGCAAAUUUAGGAUUCUUCCCCAAUUCUUUCAACCCUCGAGCUAGGGUUCUUCCAACAGAGUGAAAAAGCGUUGCAGCAACUCUGGACGCGAGCUUCAAAGGCCCAAUGGAAGUAGGCCCAAGCUGAUCGAAAUUAAACCGGAAGCAAGGCAUCUUGAUCAGAAGCUUGCAAUCCUAACCAGAAGCAGCGUGAACGGAGGAUGAAGGCAAAGAAGAUAAUCCAAGGGCCAAAAGGAUGAUCGGCCCAAAUGCGUGACCAGAAGAUGUUGAUCGGACCAGUGUCGGUUGGAGAACGAAGUGAAGCUGUCGCGGUCAAGAGUUAGUUGAAGAUGAUUCUAGAGGCUUGGUUCGUUUUCAGAUUCUUCCCCC
rnacentral:lncRNA from 1 species